GGCGGCGUGCUUAACACAUGCAAGUCGAGCGGAAAGGCCCUUCGGGGUACUCGAGCGGCGAACGGGUGAGUAACACGUGAGCAACCUGCCCUAGGCUUUGGGAUAACCCCGGGAAACCGGGGCUAAUACCGAAUAUGACUGCUGGCCGCAUGGCUGGUGGUGGAAAGUUUUUCGGCCUGGGAUGGGCUCGCGGCCUAUCAGCUUGUUGGUGGGGUGAUGGCCUACCAAGGCGACGACGGGUAGCCGGCCUGAGAGGGCGACCGGCCACACUGGGACUGAGACACGGCCCAGACUCCUACGGGAGGCAGCAGUGGGGAAUAUUGCACAAUGGGCGGAAGCCUGAUGCAGCGACGCCGCGUGAGGGAUGACGGCCUUCGGGUUGUAAACCUCUUUCAGCAGGGACGAAGCGAAAGUGACGGUACCUGCAGAAGAAGCGCCGGCCAACUACGUGCCAGCAGCCGCGGUAAGACGUAGGGCGCGAGCGUUGUCCGGAUUUAUUGGGCGUAAAGAGCUCGUAGGCGGCUUGUCGCGUCGACUGUGAAAACCCACAGCUCAACUGUGGGCCUGCAGUCGAUACGGGCAGGCUAGAGUUCGGUAGGGGAGACUGGAAUUCCUGGUGUAGCGGUGAAAUGCGCAGAUAUCAGGAGGAACACCGGUGGCGAAGGCGGGUCUCUGGGCCGAUACUGACGCUGAGGAGCGAAAGCGUGGGGAGCGAACAGGAUUAGAUACCCUGGUAGUCCACGCUGUAAACGUUGGGCGCUAGGUGUGGGGGACCUCUCCGGUUCCCUGUGCCGCAGCUAACGCAUUAAGCGCCCCGCCUGGGGAGUACGGCCGC
rnacentral:rRNA from 1 species